rnacentral:rRNA from 1 species
GACGAACGCUGGCGGCGUGCUUAACACAUGCAAGUCGAACGGAAAGGCCCUGCUUUUGUGGGGUUCUCGAGUGGCGAACGGGUGAGUAUCACGUGAGUAACCUGCCCUUUACUUUGGGAGAACUUCAGGAAACUGGGGCUAAUACCGGAUAUGAGCUCCUGCUGCAUGGGGGGUGUGGGAAAGUUUCGGCGGUUGGGGAUGGACUCGCGGCUUAUCAGCUUGUUGGUGGGGUGGUGGCUUACCAAGGCUUUGAGGGGUAGCCGGCCUGAGAGGGUGACCGGCCACAUUGGGACUGAGAUACGGCCAAGACUGCUACGGGAGGCAGCAGUGGGGAAUAUUGCACAAUGGGCGGAAGCCUGAUGCAGCAACGCCGCGUGCGGGAUGACGGCCUUCGGGUUGUAAACCGCUUGCGCCUGUGACGAAGAGUGAGUGACGGUAAUGGGUAAAGAAGCAACGGCUAACUACGUG